rnacentral:hammerhead_ribozyme from 1 species
AUCCGGUUGACGAGUCUCAAAUAGGAUGAUAUGUGCGUCCUGGAU